CCCUUAGAUGUUCUGGGCCGCACGCGCGCUACACUGAUGCAUUCAACGAGUCUAAAACCUGCUCUGAUAGGGGUGGGUAAUCUUUUGAAUGUGCAUCGUGAUUGGGAUAGAUGAUUGCAAUUUUUCAUCUUCAACGAGGAAUGCCUAGUAAACGCAAGUCAUCAGCUUGCAUUGAUUACGUCCCUGCCCUUUGUACACACCGCCCGUCGCUCCUACCGAUUGAAUGAUCCGAUGAAUAUCAUGGACUGAGAGUGUUAGAGUUUUCGGACUUCUACACUUCUCGGGAAGUGAAGUGAAUCUUAUCAUUUAGAGGAAGGAGAAGUCGUAACA
rnacentral:rRNA from 1 species